rnacentral:rRNA from 1 species
CUUCGUAGGGUAGGACAGUUUCCUCGCGUUUGGAUCCGGGUAGCCUCGAAAGGGGAGGCCGGAUUUCUUCAUAGAAAGUGGAGUGCAAUAAUUCCACCUAUAUGUAAGCUCGCGAUGGUGGGUAGUAAUGCCGCCUUUGGGAGACGUGAUUUACACCCGUGUUUACCUUCUUUGUUGCUUUGGCGGGCCGCCGCAAGGCGUUGGCUCCGGCUGACCGCGCCCGCCAGAGGACUCCAACUCUUCUGUUAAUAACGUCUGAGUACUAUAUAAUAUUUAAAACUUUCAACAACGGAUCUCUUGGUUCUGGCAUCGAUGAAGAACGCAGCGAAAUGCGAUAAGUAAUGUGAAUUGCAGAAUUCAGUGAAUCAUCGAAUCUUUGAACGCACAUUGCGCCCCUUGGUAUUCCGAGGGGCAUGCCUGUUCGAGCGUCAUUAUGACCAAUCAAGCUCAGCUUGGUGUUGGGGUUCGCGGUCCCGCGGCCCUUAAAAUCAGUGGCGGUGCCGCCCGGCUCUAAGCGUAGUAACUUUCUCGCUAUAGGGUCCGGGUGUUCUCCUCCAGAACUCCCCCAAUCUUACGGUUGACCUCGGAUCAGGUAGGGAUACCCGCUGAACUUAAGCAUAUCAUA